rnacentral:rRNA from 1 species
UAUUCAAAUUUUAGUAAAUAAUUACUUUCAAAUCCAAUUUACACCUUUUAUUACACAAAAAAUCCACAAAUAUAACUAUUGUAACCCACCUCUCCUCAUCUAUAAACUACAUCUUGACCUGAAUUCCCUUCUUAAAAAAUCAUGAACAUUAUAUUUCAAAAGAAAUAUUCAAACUACAGCGAUAUGCAAACUAAAAAAAUAAGUAAAUAAACUCGUGGAUUAUCGAUUAUAGGGCAGGUUCCUCUGAACAGACUAAAAUACCGCCAUCUUUCUUAAUUUUCAAGAACUUAACUACUACUAAUUCAAAGUUUAUAAUUACGUUUUUAUAAUAGGGUAUCUAAUCCUAGUUUA